rnacentral:rRNA from 1 species
CCNUGUCCUUGGUUGCCAGCGAUUUUGGUCGGGGACUCCAAGGAGACUGCCGGUGACAAACCGGAGGAAGGUGGGGAUGACGUCAAGUCCUCNUGGCCCUUAUGGGCAGGGCUACACACGUGCUACAAUGGCCGGUACANAGGGUCGCCAACCCGANAGGGGGAGCAAAUCCCACAAAGCCGGUCGUAUUCCGGAUCGGAGUCUGCAACUCGACUCCGUGAANUCGGAAUCGCUAGUAAUCGCANAUCAAAACGCUGCGGUGAAUACGUUCCCGGGCCUUGNACACA